rnacentral:rRNA from 1 species
GACGAACGCUGGCGGCGUGCCUAAUACAUGCAAGUAGAACGCUGAAGGAGGAGCUUGCUUCUCUGGAUGAGUUGCGAACGGGUGAGUAACGCGUAGGUAACCUGCCUGGUAGCGGGGGAUAACUAUUGGAAACGAUAGCUAAUACCGCAUAAUAGUAGAUGUUGCAUGACAUUUGCCUAAAAGGUGCAAUUGCAUCACUGCCAGAUGGACCUGCGUUGUAUUAGCUAGUUGGUGGGGUAACGGCUCACCAAGGCGACGAUACAUAGCCGACCUGAGAGGGUGAUCGGCCACACUGGGACUGAGACACGGCCCAGACUCCUACGGGAGGCAGCAGUAGGGAAUCUUCGGCAAUGGACGGAAGUCUGACCGAGCAACGCCGCGUGAGUGAAGAAGGUUUUCGGAUCGUAAAGCUCGGUUGUAAGAGAAGAACGAGUGUGAGAGUGGAAAGUUCACACUGUGACGGUAUCUUACCAGAAAGGGACGGCUAACUACGUG